CCCAGGUGUGGUAACGUGCACCUGUAAUCCCGGCUGCUUGGGAGGGUGAGGCAGGAGAAUUGCUUGAACCCAGGAGGUGGAGGUUGCAGUGAGCUGAGAUUGCACCACUGUACUCCAGCCUGGGUAACAGAGCAAGACUCUGUCUCAA
rnacentral:SRP_RNA from 1 species